rnacentral:rRNA from 1 species
UACGUAGGGUGCAAGCGUUAAUCGGAAUUACUGGGCGUAAAGCGCGCGCAGGCGGUCUUCCAAGUCAGUGGUGAAAGCCCGGAGCUCAACUCCGGAAUUGCCAUUGAAACUGUUAGACUUGAGGAUGAGAGAGGUGAGUGGAAUUCCCAGUGUAGAGGUGAAAUUCGUAGAUAUUGGGAAGAACACCGGUGGCGAAGGCGGCUCACUGGCUCAUUACUGACGCUCAGGCGCGAUAGCGUGGGGAUCAAACAGG